rnacentral:snoRNA from 1 species
AUGGCAUGUUGAGGACAAUCGGCGCAAAAGUUUCUUGAAUCUCUCCCAAGCUAGGUAAAAAUUCUCAUCCUUGCGUUGUCGAAAACUUGCAAUCCUUUGUCUCCCCUU